GAUGAACGCUGGCGGCGUGCCUAAUACAUGCAAGUCGAGCGAACGGACGAGAAGCUUGCUUUUCUGAUGUUAGCGGCGGACGGGUGAGUAACACGUGGAUAACCUACCUAUAAGACUGGGAUAACUUCGGGAAACCGGAGCUAAUACCGGAUAAUAUUUUGAACCGCAUGGUUCAAAAGUGAAAGACGGUCUUGCUGUCACUUAUAGAUGGAUCCGCGCUGCAUUAGCUAGUUGGUAAGGUAACGGCUUACCAAGGCAACGAUGCAUAGCCGACCUGAGAGGGUGAUCGGCCACACUGGAGGUGGAACACGGUCCAGACUCCUACGGGAGGCAGCAGUAGGGAAUGGUCCGCAGUGGGCGAAAGCCUGACGGAGCAACGGCGCGUGAGUGAUGAAGGUCUUCGGAGCGUAAAACUCUGUUAUUAGGGAAGAACAUAUGUGUAAGUAACUGUGCACAGCUUGACGGUACCUAAUCAGAAAGCCACGGCUAACUACGUG
rnacentral:rRNA from 1 species